rnacentral:rRNA from 1 species
UACGUAGGGUGCGAGCGUUAAUCGUAAUUACUGGGCGUAAAGCGUGCGCAGGCUGCUUCGCAAGUCAGGCGUGAAAUCCCCGGGCUUAACCUGGGAAUGGCGUCUGAACCUACGGAGCUAGAGUGUGGCAGAGGGAGGUAGAAUUCCACGUGUAGCGGUGAAAUGCGUAGAUAUGUGGAGGAAUACCGAUGGCGAAGGCAGGCUCCUGGGCAAACACUGACGCUCAUGCACGAAAGCGUGGGGAGCAAACAGG